rnacentral:rRNA from 1 species
AGAGUUUGAUCCUGGCUCAGGAUGAACGCUGGCGGCGUGCCUACACAUGCAAGUCGAACGGAGCGCCCGGACGGAGUAUUUCGGUACAAAGACCGGGUGGCUGAGUGGCGGACGGGUGAGUAACGCGUGGACAACCUGCCGUGUACAGGGGGAUAACAGCCGGAAACGGCUGCUAAUACCGCAUAUGCGCACAGUGCCGCAUGGCACAGGGCGGAAAGCCUAGAUCUUAUCUAGUACGGUACACGAUGGGUCCGCGUCUGAUUAGGUAGUUGGCGGGGUAACGGCCCACCAAGCCCACGAUCAGUAGCCGGCCUGAGAGGGCGGACGGCCACACUGGGACUGAGACACGGCCCAGACUCCUGCGGGAGGCAGCAGUGGGGAAUAUUGCACAAUGGGGGGAACCCUGAUGCAGCGACGCCGCGUGAAGGAAGAAGUAUCUCGGUAUGUAAACUUCUAUCAGCAGGGAAGAAAGAGGACGGUACCUGACUAAGAAGCCCCGGCUAACUACGUGCCAGCAGCCGCGGUAAUACGUAGGUGGCAAGCGUUGUCCGGAUUUAUUGGGCGUAAAGCGAGCGCAGGCGGAAAGAUAAGUCUGAUGUGAAAGCCCCCGGCUUAACCGAGGAAUUGCAUCGGAAACUGUGUUUCUUGAGUGCAGAAGAGGAGAGUGGAACUCCAUGUGUAGCGGUGGAAUGCGUAGAUAUAUGGAAGAACACCAGUGGCGAAGGCGGCUCUCUGGUCUGUAACUGACGCUGAGGCUCGAAAGCAUGGGUAGCGAACAGGAUUAGAUACCCUGGUAGUCCAUGCCGUAAACGAUGAGUGCUAAGUGUUGGGAGGUUUCCGCCUCUCAGUGCUGCAGCUAACGCAUUAAGCACUCCGCCUGGGGAGUACGACCGCAAGGUUGAAACUCAAAGGAAUUGACGGGGGCCCGCACAAGCGGUGGAGCAUGUGGUUUAAUUCGAAGCAACGCGAAGAACCUUACCAGGUCUUGACAUCUAGUGCCAUCCUAAGAGAUUAGGAGUUCCCUUCGGGGACACUAAGACAGGUGGUGCAUGGCUGUCGUCAGCUCGUGUCGUGAGAUGUUGGGUUAAGUCCCGCAACGAGCGCAACCCUUGUUAUUAGUUGCCAGCAUUAAGUUGGGCACUCUAAUGAGACUGCCGGUGACAAACCGGAGGAAGGUGGGGAUGACGUCAAGUCAUCAUGCCCCUUAUGACCUGGGCUACACACGUGCUACAAUGGGCAGUACAACGAGAAGCGAGCCUGCGAAGGCAAGCGGAUCUCUUAAAGCUGUUCUCAGUUCGGACUGCAGUCUGCAACUCGACUGCACGAAGCUGGAAUCGCUAGUAAUCGCGGAUCAGCACGCCGCGGUGAAUACGUUCCCGGGCCUUGCACUCAAAGCCCGUCA